UUGGUAAAUUUGUGUCCCAGAUUUCAAUUUUUCCUCGUUGACGUUUGUUGGAGACGAGAUAACUCCAACCGCUUAUCCUCAAACGGUGAGUUUCCAAAUCGUUCUUUCAGGUCAUCUUUAAAUCGUUGCCAAGUCGUCAACAUCCGAUUUCUCUGAAGCCCUCUGAACCAUGCCCUCGCCUCCUUAAUCAUAUGGAAUCCGACGAACGGUAGUUAUGCAUCGUCU
rnacentral:lncRNA from 1 species